rnacentral:rRNA from 1 species
UACGGGGGGGGCAAGCGUUGUUCGGAAUUACUGGGCGUAAAGGGCGUGUAGGCGGCCAACUAAGUCCGACGUGAAAUCCCCAGGCUUAACCUGGGAACUGCGUCGGAUACUGGAUGGCUUGAGUUUGGGAGAGGGACGCGGAAUUCCAGGUGUAGCGGUGAAAUGCGUAGAUAUCUGGAGGAACACCGGUGGCGAAGGCGGCAUCCUGGACCGAGAUUGACGCUGAGGCGCGAAAGCCAGGGGAGCAAACGGG